rnacentral:rRNA from 1 species
GGGGUAAACCUCUUCGGAGAUUUACUUAGUGGCGAACGGGUGAGUAACGCGUGAGGAAACCUGCCUUCAGUGGGGGACAACAGUUGGAAACGACUGCUAAUACCGCAUGACACAGUAGAACCGCAUGGUUUAACUGUCAAAGCUUUAUGUGCUGAAAGAUGGCCUCGCGUCUGAUUAGCUAGUUGGUGAGGUAACGGCCCACCAAGGCGACGAUCAGUAGCCGGUCUGAGAGGAUGAACGGCCACAUUGGGACUGAGACACGGCCCAAACUCCUACGGGAGGCAGCAGUGGGGAAUAUUGGACAAUGGGGGAAACCCUGAUCCAGCGACGCCGCGUGAGUGAAGAAGUAUUUCGGUAUGUAAAGCUCUAUCAGCAGGGAAGAAAAUGACGGUACCUGACUAAGAAGCCCCGGCUAACUACGUG